rnacentral:SRP_RNA from 1 species
GCCAGGCAUGGUGGCGCGUGCCUAUAGUUCCAGCUACUCGGGAGGCUGAGGUGGGAGGAUUGCUUGAGCCCAGGAGUUCUGGGCUGCAGUGUGCUAUGCCGAUCGGGUGUCCGCACUGUUUGGCAUCAAUAUGGUGACCUCCUGGGAGCAGGGGACCACCAGGUUGCCCAAGGAGGUCAGAAACAGAGCAGGUCAAAACUCCCGUGCUGAUCAGAGGUGGGAUUGCACCUGUGAAUAGCCACUACCCUCCAGCCUUGGCAACAUAGCGAGAUCCGUCUCU